CCUCUGUUAUCACCUUCUGCUAUUUCUGCUAUUUGUUGAGCUGCGAAAGCCGCAUCGGAGGUUGCAAGGGAUGAAAAUAUUGCUCCUGCAAUCGCAAGUGAAGGUGACACAAAGUUGGUGUUCUUGGUUGAGACAAGACCCUUUGGUAGGUUCUGCAUGGUGGUGGUUUUGCAUGUUGAUGUUAGCUUAGUAGUGGUGCUAAGGUUUUGCAACUUUGGUAGGCCUGUGUUUAGGCACUUUGUGUUGAUCAUCAUUGCCAUGGUUGCUGCCAUUGAUGAAUAUGUUGAGAUAUUGGCACUGAUAAUUCUCAAGAGUAAGAGUGAAUUUGGUCUUUGCUAUUGAAGAAUGAAGACUAUAGUUUAG
rnacentral:lncRNA from 1 species